rnacentral:rRNA from 1 species
UACAGAGGCCUCAAGCGUUGUUCGGAUUCAUUGGGCGUAAAGGGUGCGUAGGCGGCGCGGUAAGUCGGGUGUGAAAUCUUGGAGCUUAACUCCGAAACUGCAUUCGAUACUGCCGUGCUUGAGGACUGGAGAGGAGACUGGAAUUUACGGUGUAGCGGUGAAAUGCGUAGAUAUCGUAAGGAAGACCAGUGGCGAAGGCGGGUCUCUGGACAGUUCCUGACGCUGAGGCACGAAGGCCAGGGGGAGCAAAACGGG